rnacentral:ribozyme from 1 species
AAGAACACACACACACACAGCAAUGACAAUCGUAAAAGGAAAUCGCAAAGGACGAAAAAGAGAUCGUGAACUUCGACGUCUCGUAGUCCUAUGUGGAUCUACCAUUUGUUUCAUUGCAUUCUUCUUUUUCUACACACGCCAUGGCAAUGGUAAUGAUUCCGAUACAACAACUCCAGGAAAAACAUCUCAGAACAGAUUGAAGGGUGCAACAACAGAACAAAAAAGAAAACUAGAUAAAUCAAAUC